AGAAAAACAAACAAAACAAAAACACAUCUGGGAAACACUGCCACAACUAAAACUUGGAUACGCAGCAUUUAUAUAUAUUUUUAAAAUAUUUCCUUUACAGCUUGUCUUAAUGACUUUUGUCUUAUAUACGUCUGCCUUCCCUUGGACUGUUCUGAUUGGCUGUUGUUUAGGGAGGCUAUUUGGUUGUGAGGUUAUAAAAGAGGAAAAAAGAAAUGGAGUUUUAACUGACUACACCUCCACUUCAUUUCCCCAACGCCACAUCAAAGAAAGGUAAGCCAACUGUUCUGUCUCUUAUUCUGUUGCUCUACAUAUUCAUUUAAUGUUGUUUAUGAUUUGUCUGUCUGUGCGAGUGUGAAAUAAUUUUUUUUUAUUUUCUAAAUGUGUGUCGUCAUUAGGAACAGUUGGAAGUGCUGUCAUACUUUACAAGAAUAAUAAAAAGCAAAUAUGGAAAAGGAAAAAUGACUGACUCAGUUAUUACAAAAGUUCAGUUUUCAUCAGCCCUGCGUGUUUGUCUCAAUAUACAAAUAAUAAUGAUAAUAUCAGAUGUCUAUGACAAAAUGAACUUUGCUGUCUUGACUGCCAUGGUCACUGUAGCCCUUGUCCAUCUGGGCACUACGAACUCUUUACCUUGUCAAGGCACAAGCCUCCGAAGUAAAUAUGACGAAUUUAUCAGAAGACACAUCCUUCAAGAUGAAUUUAACCGAAGUCUUCCAAGAGAGUGGGAGAAAUAUUUGAAAAAGAAAGGCCUCUGGUGCAGAACUCCAGUGCAGUCCUUCAUCGAGAGCAGAGAUCGGGUGAAUAUCGAUAGGAUCUGCAGCCGAAAUGGUCGACGUCUAAUUAAUGCCUUCCCAGAUAACUUGUGUAUCAGUAGUUCAAACAUACUGGUACAUGACAUCCAGUUUGUAAAUGGUUGUGAACUUAAUGUGAUAUCACAUCAAAAGCCUGUGAUUGUAGCCUGCAAUAAUGUUGAAAACCGCUGCCGCCCUGUGCAUUUUGAGAGAUACCAACAGCAAAUGCCAAGCAAUAUGCCCUGCAUGUAGCCACAGUUUUGCACUAUUUGAUGUACUAAUUAGUCAAUCGGGCUUUUCAAGUAUAAUCUCAAUCAAAUAAAUGAAUAAAUGUAUCCUACAGAGCUUGCUGAAUGGUGCAACUCUGAGUAUCUGUCUUCAUGUUUAUUAAAUGUAACAGUGAGUUCCUGUUCAAAUAAUGUGAGUAAAUGUUCAGAGUCAUUAUUGUCAGUCAUUGUUUUCAUUUUUAGAAUGUUGGCUUUAUUCUUUGUCAAUUUGGUUAAAUAUUUCAACACAAUUAACAUAAAGAGUGAAUCUUACGCAUUUUUGUUGUAAUUGGGAAGUCGUCAUUACUGGGAUUCAGUCUUGUUCUCCAAGUGCUGUGCUAUAGCCAGUCUGGCUUCUAUCUGGAAUCCAUUUUUAAGCACAUGUAAAACAAUUAUAAAACAGUUGUCAGCUUUUCUUGUCUUUCAGCUGUUAAUACCAACAAAUAUUUGGGGGGGGGGGGGGGGGGGGGGGGGUUGCAGAGCAUGUCUGUAAGACCCAGUGACUAUGAGUUAUGAGUUUUGCAUACAGCGGCAUAAAUUUGCUUGUCUUGCUGCAGCUGCAGGAACACUGCAUUUUCCUCUGUUAUAAGCUGUGUUACAUGCUUAAGUAAAUUAUAAAGGAUGCUUUUCUAUUUGUCUCUCUUUCUUUAACCUUUCAGUUUCACUUUUGAGGCACCAAACUUGUUUAGGACAUGUCACACGUUGGGACAGCAUGGCAGACCACU
ensembl:lncRNA